rnacentral:rRNA from 1 species
GUGCCAGCCGCCGCGGUAAUACCGGCAGCCCGAGUGAUGGCCGAUCUUAUUGGGCCUAAAGCGUCCGUAGCUGGCUGCGCAAGUCCGUCGGGAAAUCCACUCGCCCAACGAGUGGGCGUCCGACGGAAACUGCACAGCUUGGGGCCGGAGGACCCGAGGGGUACGUCCGGGGUAGGAGUGAAAUCCUGUAAUCCUGGACGGACCGCCGGUGGCGAAAGCACUCUGAGAAGACGGCUUCGACAGUGAGGGACGAAAGCCAGGGUCUCGAACCGGAUUAGAAACCCGAGUAGUCC